AGCACACAUAUACACACACACACACAUAUAUACAUACAUAUAUACAUAUACUCAUAAACUCAAUAAUAAAUAGCACUCAUAAAUAGCAAUGACAGCUUAUUAGACAUGUUAUUGAGAAUGGCUGUUCUCUAUUGAGGAUAAGAAUCACUCAAUAUUCUGCUACUUCUUUCCACUGAGUGUGAAAAUCAUGACAUAACAUCUGGUCAUGAGCUCCAUGUCACUGCUGCAUAAAUGUGUUAAUAAAAGUAGGCACUUCUGGACCUCUAAGAAUGUUUGUACAAUAAUUUCUGUUACCCAGUGGGCUUACCUGUCUGUAUCCUUAGCCCCGAUUUAUGCUGCACAAACCACAAGAACAGCUGGUCAGUGCCCUACCAAUUGACCGUCACUUCCACAGAGAGCAUCUGCAAGAGCUGAUAGGUUAACAUGCCAUGGUGACUUAGAAAAAUCUGGCAACUUUGGAGCAUGAACAUGUAAUUUAAUUGAAUUUGCAGUGGAUUGAAGAACAACUUCAGUUUUUCACCAUGUACACGAAAUAUAGUGAACUAAAUAUAGUGUCUACUAAAUAUAGUGAACAUUCCCCACAUUGAUGUAAAGUAUGUGAGAUGUUCUAUAGUGCCAUCCACAGCACAAAUUAUACAAUUGAAGGUUUGGCCAGUUGUGUGCGAACACAUUCUGGCACAAAACGUUUGUCUGUGGAUCACAUUGGAUGGUGAAUUGCUGUCUGUUAGCAAACAGAUCAACUUCCACAUUCGUUAAACUUGUAAAUUUGCCAAUCCCUGAGCACAGGACUGCUUUGACACAGCACAUCGACUAUCAGACCGCAUCUGCCCAAAGACUAGGCAGCUCUUAAGACGGAUUAUGUGCAUUACACAUGGCAAGAUUUUUGAGAACUAAACUGUGAGAAUUCUGACAGUCCUUCUAGGAUGUGCUCUAGCUGGAAAGAAAUAAUGUGUUUUAUCUAUGGUCAAAUUACAGCAGAAAAGUACAUUACAACAUGUUCACUUAUUUUAUGUUAUUUGUGAGUUCCAUAAUAACUGGGGCUGAAUAAUACAUUUCUCCCAAAAGCCAAGCCUACAAAGAGCCAUCCUAAAGUAAAGGCUUGAUGAGGAACAAAGGAGAAAAUAGCACUAUAGAAACGCUAUGGUUUAAUAAGUUGCCUGUCCUCUCUUUCAAGCAGGAAAUUAGACUGUUUCCGUGCAAUAAAUUCAGAAGGUGUGAUUAUUCAGAAACUUGGUUUGUAGUUACCGUGCUACAGUUUGUGCGGUUAUUACAGGCUUUGCAUUCAAUCUUUAAGUUCAGUAUUAAUGAUCUACUCAUCGUAAUCUGAUUAAAAGUAAUAUUGUUCAAUAGUGAACAAUGCCAUGGACUCAACUUUUAAUAGAGUACAAUCAUUUCAAAUAUUUACUAAUCAAAAUGCUCAUUUUCUGGUAUAUUUUGUUAUUCUGCAAAUUCUCUGUAUGUUUACCUACUUUGGCAAGGUAUUUACAUGGAAAUGGGGAAUUCUGACAGGGGUGUGUGAUAUUCAUAAUCAUAUGAAUACCACCUCGUUAGGAGAAUGGAGCACGACGAAUGAGAUGAGCAUGUAAUCUCAAUUACAAUCUGAGUCAUGGGGAAUAAUAAAAACAUUUCCUGGCUGAUGGGUUACAGUGGAGCCAUAGACGUAAACUGGCUUCAUAUUUCCAAUCAUGAUGUUGUUUGUAUUGUCAGUUGUUUAUGAGUGGAGUUGUGGGUGUUGUUGUGGGUGUUGUUUUUUUCAACAGAAAAUAAAAGUGGUUAACACAUAUGAGUUUUUAAAUUGUUGCGAGGACUGAUUAGCAGUAGCCCAUGUCUCAAAGUUUAUAGUCUGAGUAAAGGAUAUGAGGCUAUGGCUAGAGAGUUUUUUGCGAUUCAAUGGUUAUUACAGAAAAAAAAAUGUCAUACAUAAUUGGUUGAGUUCUGUAAAAUCCUUUUUGCUUUUAAUUAAACUUUCAUAUCAGCCCAUUUUGCCCAUAUCUUCAAAUGUGACUAAAUAUAGGGGCAGUGCUGCCUUGGCGGUUAAGGCUCUGGGUUACUUUUCGAAAAGUUGGGGGUUCAAGCCCCAGUGCUGCCAAACUGCCACUGUUGGGCCCUUGAGCAAGGCCCUUAACCCUCUCUGCUCCAGGGUUGCUGUAUCAUGGCUGACCCUGUGCUCUGACCCCAGUGUCCUGACAUGCUGGGGUAUGCGAAGAAAAGAAUUUCACUGUGCAAGCCCUCUCCCUUCCCCUCUUCCUGUGCCACUCCACCUGAAGAAGGGUGAUGAGCUUCAUCCUCACUGUGGUCCAGAGCUCUGCUCGUGCAGAGCACUACUCUUGCCUUACCUACUUAUACAGCCAACUUAGCAACAUCAGCGCCCUAGCAAAAGAUUAGGCCUCCUGUGAUUUCUGCUGAGCUGGUGCACCUUUAUGCCAAACCUUUUAAAGGAGAUGCUGAUGAUUAUUGUACACAUAGAUGAUAGCUUCUGGUCUACAGAAGCUAUCACUCCUGCCUGUGGUUUCAAAGACCCCAUCCACAUUCUCAUCAAACUGCUGCACUCACUCUCCUUGUUGGCUGCAGGCCACUUAACUCAACUGUGUUCUGAUUGGCUGCUCUCAGGUUGGGCUUGUGAUGCUUGGAGGCAACUGUCUCUGUGGGGUGAUUCCACUCCUGGCUCAUCCUGCAUCUCACAAGGUGCUGGAACUGUAGAUUGUGCCACUUGCUCCCCCAUCAAGUAUUUCAUUUUGGCCUGGUGGAUCUUCAGGCACAUGCACAUACACAUCGUGCACUUGUAGUCAUUACUCUGUUAGCUUGGGUGGUUGCCUAUUUGCCUGUCCAGUUGGCGUGCUCAUUAAUCAGUGGGUUUUUCUGUAGCUUUCUUGUGGGUUUUCCCUCACUGGCGGUGCAAUUUGGAGUGCUAAGCCUCACUGCCCUGGUUUCUAUCUGUCUGUGCUGUUCACUGUCUCUCCAGCUGUUGCCAAACUAUUUGCCAUAGUCAUCUAACCUAUUCCUGCAUGUCACUGGCCUAGAAAGUUUGGACUGGUUUUAUCAUACACCUUUUUAUGCAACUUUGACACAUCAUCACUGAUGUAACAUGGGUCAUCUGCCAAAGCGUCUGUUAUAAAUUUGGAGCUGGGCUUUUUAGUUGUUCUUAGAAGCAAAUUAAGAGGAUUUGAAGACCUACUGAAAAAUACAACACCGUAAAUAAAGGCAGUAUGGUGGUGCAACUGGAAGUGAUGCCAUCCUAAGCUCUGGUUUUUCUCUGAGUAGGAGUUUUGCAGGUUCUCCCUGUGUCCUCCUACCACUCAACAAACUUGCUGUUAUGUGGACUCUAAAUUGCCCCUAGGUGUGAAUGUAUGUGUGCAUGGUGCCUUGUGAUGGAUUGCCAUCCCACUGAGAGUGUAUAUUCUCACUUUGUACCCAGUGUUCCCAGGAUCUGGAUCCACAGUGACCCUGACUAUGAUGGAGCUCUUACUGAAAGUGAAUUAAAAAAAAUAAACAUACAUAUAAAGCUCAAUUACUGAUUCUCCAGUGCCCACUACAUGAGCUUCAAAAGUUUAUUGUGAAUACAACACCAUUCUUAGGGAUAACUGCAUACCUGCAUACCUUUUCGUUGGAAUUUUGCUUGCUUCUACAAUCAAAAUACUUUUAAUUCUCAUUUGCAAAAUUUGAGAAAUAUGUUAGAAGAGAUGAUGUUUCCAGAUUUGUUUCCAUAUAUGUAACCAAGAAAGAAUAAAACUGUAAACAGAUAUAAAAUUGAUGGUGGCAAACUAUUUUUGACAAGUACUGUGCAGUGAAAGUUUUGUCCUGUGCACUGAAACUAAUAAGUUCUUGCAAGAUUUGUAAGUUUUCCACAAACACAUUUCAAAUGUUUCAAAAAAGGACCCCUUGCUGCAGUACAGACAUAUGCAAGCACACAAUUUUAUUGCUGUUGUCCUCUGCAGACACAGCUGCUGCUGACUUGCUCUGUAAAGGUCUCUUGGGAUAAUUAUAGAAAGUGGAGUCCUUGUUGCAGUCCAUAUAAAACUUUUUGGUUAUUUUUAACCUUAUCUUUUAACCUACUCUGAAGACAACCGCAUCAGCAUUAAUAGACUUGCCCACUCAUUUUCAGCUUCAAAUGGCUGUGGCGAAAAAGAAACAAAGGGAAAAUGAGAUUCAGAGAGCAACUCUGCCAUUUUCAUUUGCUAAUGAUUACCGUUACUGUGCAACUGGAAUUUCAACAAUCCACCAAACAAAAAGUGCUUAUUGGUUUAAGCAGCACAAUGAUCUGUGUCCUCCAAAUUUAAUGGGGGAUGUAAAGUGAUGUUUUAGUUAAAUUAUCAUAAGUACAAAUACAAAAUAUAUAUCAUGUUUAUAACUAUACAUUAAGUAUGACUCCACAAACAUAUCACACCUGGAGAUGUGUGAUAUAAAUAUAAGUGGUGCAACACAAAAGGAACCAACAUUACAAAUGCUCUUUUAUAGUUUUGGCUCCAAAUGCGUGUAGUCACCGUACAGUGAAGGUGAGGUGCUGUGCUAGCUAUACGCAGGUGGAUUGUACUCCCCAAUUGGUCUUCUUGUGGGUGGGUGUGCCUAGGAAUACUGGUUUUGGUGAGGGGUGAAUGGGUUCAGUGCUGGAGGAACUUCUGGAAAGCGGUAUAGUGUAGUAUAUCUACUCAGUAUUUAUAAUCUGCACUACACCAAAACAGAGACAGGGCAAGUGGAUGAAUAAAUGAAGUUUUGCAGGAUUGCUUUGUUUGUAUGUUACUGAGUAGCUUGAGACAUGUGUGUAUCGUACUCCAGCAGCUGUGUGAGUAAUUAGCUCAAACCCAAGGGAAUCCUAAAACCUGUUUCCUGUUUUCCUGGGUGAUAAGUACACAUAUGUAAUUUCCCUUUCUUAUCCAUCACCAGAGGAAAAACCGAAGAGCAUGCAUCACAAAAAAGACAAAUGGUUUUUGACCAACGCUGGUCAGGUAAUGUGUAUACAAUACCAUUAAGCACAAUCUGGACCAUAAAAAUAUCUCGAAUAGUUAAAAAAUUGUAAAAGUCUGGAACACGACAUACAGAAUAAGCCCUGCCCUGUUACACAGUGAGCAUGAUGGGAAGAUGCUAAGUUUCAAAAGAUGUCACAUCCAUAACUAGCUGUUUGGAAACUUUGCACAGUAUACAAAAUGCAGCUACUAAUAUUUACCCAGCAUCACUGGAAUUGUGUAUUGUGCAGACUAAACAUUUAGGUUGCGCACCACCAUUGGCAUGUUAUUGCAAUAACUGGAGACUGCUUACAAGAUUCCUGGAGACUGGAGACAAGAUUCCUGGAGAUGAAACACUGGUUUUUUGGCAGUGUUGCGAAGCUGGUGAUCUAGGUGCUCUUGUAAAGACAAAUUCUUCAAAUUACCAAGAUAUUUUAGCCCAAAGUUUGUUUGCAGCAUCCAGGAUGUUAAGAUCAUAAACUGAACCUUCAACAAUAACUCAAAUAUACAUCGACAUCAACACAGAAAUGGUUGAAAUCUGUGUUUUGCAAUGAACAUUUCAGUCUCUGGAUUUUAUCUUACUGACAACCUGUAGUCUGAAUUGACGAGUGAAGUCCUCAUGCAGAAACAUAUCGAUAUAAAGAAAUAUACUGUAGAAUGUUCUGUAUGGAGGAGUGCCCAAGUCAUUUUCAUUGUUGCUUUUCUUAUUCUAAGGAGUCAUAAUUAAUUGAGCAGAUCAUGAGAUUGAUGAUAAGAUGCAAACUUUGUUGUUGGUAUCAAUACAAUCUUAGGGCAAAGUUCAACACUGACCAUUUUCUGGUGCGGGUUAGUUAAUGAGGGCCUGUUAAAAUAUUCAAAUGGAGCCACAGUCUGUGAAUGACUGCCCUGGGUCAGUAGAAGACAUCCCUCAUAUGCACCUCCACUGAGUUUAUAACGUCAAUCCUCAUCAGACUUCAUUCAUUCAUUCAUCGUUCUUCUGUUAGACAUAUAGCAGUAAUAGCAGUAAAAGUGAUAUGAUAAAAGCAGCGUUGAUCUUAUUCUGCUUUGUCAACUUUGACAUAUUCUGAGACAGGCUAAAAUACUGUGCAAAGUACAGAGACAGUUGCACUGCAAAAAAAAAAAACAAACAAAAAAAUAAGUGUAAUCAAGUGAAACUAUCUUGAAUAGUUUCCAAUAUUCUAUUAUUUCUAGUAUUCUAGUAUAUCCAAUAUUCUAGUAUUUCCUGUUAUAAUAUUACAAUAAACCAAAUAUAACAUUGUUAAAUCUAUUUUUUGACAAUUGUUUUCAAGCUUGAAAUAGUCUUGUUCUAAUGGCAGAUGAUUUCAUUUAAAGUAUAUUUUAUAAUUUAUUUAUUUUUUUGAGAAAAAAGCUAAAUUAUGUGCCAGUAGUCUAUUACAUUUUAAAGAUUGAGUUAAUCAAUUUAGGCCAAUAAAUUAAAAUAAUAGGUUUAAUAAUAAUAAUAACAAUAAAAAUUAUAUUUGAUUUGUGGUAAUCUUAUAAGAGGAUAUACUAAAUAAAUUUGUCUAUAUACAAGAUAUUUUCACUUACUAAGAUGUAAUUGUUUUGCAGCGUCUGGCAAAAAUUCUCCAUCAGGACUCUUUCCUAGGAGUGCUAUCCCAAUCGAUCAGAAUUGAGGGAUACAGUUACUGGAAGUUAUGAGGAAGUUAUGAGUUAUCAUGCCAUGAUAGAAUGCUCUGUAAAGUAUGUAGUAACAGAGAGCAUUUUAGUAAAAAAAAAUAGCCAGCACUCAAAGUAUUGCAAACAUACUGAAAUGUUGGAAUCUUACUGGAAAGGGUGUGGAUUCAAGCGCUGAAGAUUUCUUGUGAUUUUUUCCAUGAAUUACGGUUGCAGUGAAAUUACAGUAAGCAUUUUAUUGUAAUAUUGCUAUAAUUAUAAUACAGGACACUAUAAUUUUACACUAUCAUGGGUCAUGUCUAGCUGUACUAUAAAUUAUGGCUGUUGCUUGGAAUCUACUGAGUCGACUGUGACUGAGUUGCCAGUAAGUUAUUGUAAUUUUACAAGUUUCAAUUUUCACUGUUAGUGUAAAAUCUCAUUAAUCACUGUACUAAUCAAACUAAUCAGCUAAUCAAACAGGUUUGUGUUACUGAAAAGGGGCUACUCAAAGCCCUGUAAAUUCACACUAAUGGGCACUCCAAAAACACACCACUAUUUAUUUCAGCCUGAAGAUAAGAAUGGAAAGAUUUUUUUCUUUUAAAUAAAAAAUUAAAGAGCAAAGUAUCUCCCACAACGCCCUUCUCUGUACUCGGCUUUAGAAAGUUUUCUGUCUCUUUGUUUGAGAUACUGGAAGGAAAUGUUUUGAGUGGAGGUGGUAAAACUUGAAUUCCAGGGCAGUUUUAUUUAUUUAAAAAAAUUUUUUUGAGUGAUGUUGAGCUAAGAUGAUAUAUAAAAUACAGAUCAUUUUUAAGGUUGUACUUUUAUUAAAUAUGCAAAAGUUUACAUAUUUCAUAUUUAAUCCGUAUUUAAUUAACCUUUCAAUAUUACUCAUAAAGGUUCCUGACAUUAGUUGUUUCUAUAGUCUCAUAAGUAAGCUUCAUAAACAUGUCAAACAUAUAAGGUAGAUAAGAUUAAAAAGUAAAAAAAAAAAAAAAAAAAAGAGCUAAAUAAGAAGCGUGUUGAAGAAAAGCAGCGUUUCAAGAGUGCUGAUAUUUGUGUUGAUAUCUGGUACAUUUCACUUGUGUGAAAUGUGUUCACUGCAGAGAACGCCGAUCCUAGCAACAGUGCAUUACACUGAAACCGUUACUACGCUUACUACGGGCUGUCAGGAAUUCUUUUCUUUCACAGAGGAAAAAAUAAACAAAAUAUUUGUCCAUGUUGUGUCUGAAACGUUAGACACUCAAUAUGAAUUUCUUGCACAGAACAGUUGUAUAAAAGCAAUAACACACGUGCAAUCAUGGUGUUGUACUGAUAUUCACUACAACAGCACUCUUGCUUGUAUGAUAUUGCUUAAGUAACGUGCAUUUUUAUAUCUAAAACUAUUUUACUGCUAAAACGGUAUAAUAAAAUUUUGUGUGAGCAAAACAGAGCCUUAUAUCUCUUUUCAGCGAGGGAACACUAAUAAACCCAUUGAAUUCAGUCAGAUACUGACUCACACGCUGUGCAGAUUUCUGGAAUCGGACUAACCAACAUUUAGAUCAUUAUGUAUAAUAUGUUCGCUGUGAUAGCGACUGAUGAACACGUUUAUAAACGUGAGAAUCCUGUCUACGUCCUGUGUGUAGACUCAGGUGUCCCUUUAUAGCCUAUAGAAAGCUUUAAGCAGCAUUACUGCCUGAUUAUUUCCAAACACAGCCACAAACGUCUCAAGGGACCCUGGAGAAUGGGCUCUGGGCUGGAUGCGGCACUUUCACUGUAAAUACUUUUGUUGGGGUUCUCAGUAUUAGAAAGGCAACACUAAACACUCCUUGACAAGAUUGAUGAUCUAGUUACCAAAAGCAAUUACAUCAAACGUACCUUUUUUUAAAGUCACAAUUUUUCUGCCUAUUCAGGCUCUUGUGUGUAGCGGGUCCACUCAUGCGUAUCAAGCUCUAUUGUAGGUCAUGCAUUAUUAUUUUUUUUUUUUUUUUUGCGUUGCUGUUCCAAAAAUGAGCCCUUUCUUUUCUUUACUGGAUCAAACACCUGCGUGGUCUCCCCCACUUCUUUCACACGCAAAGCGUCUGCCAGGCUGUUCUAUAAUCCAGUUACAUUCAAAAUCUGACACGCUUUACAAAUCAGCCCAAACACUGCAGCAAGAUGUGGUCUGUGUCUCUGUGUACCAUCACACACACACACACACACACACACAAAACAUCCUUUAUCCCUUUAUAAUGUUAUUAUUGUGGGUGUGCACUUUAAACAGAGCAUAUGUCCUUAUUCUUAUACAGUCAGUUGGGCCAUUCACCCGUCAGUAUAGUGCUGGCAGCAUUGGCAGUGCGGUUUUGUUUGUUUGUUUGUUUGUUUUUUGCUUUUUCAUUAGUAAUUUAAAUAAGCAGAGUAGACAUUUUUAGCCUUUAUUAGUUCAUGACAGUAUUUCUAAGGAAGUACUGUACACAAUUACUUUCAGACACAUAGUGGAUGUUUGACUAAUAGUAGUUUCCUGUUUGUGCGUGUGAGAGAGGUUUAUAGGGAUGAUUUGCAUGUACAUUUUUAAAAAUUAAUUUCAUGAUAUUUAAAUCAUACCUGCCUUUUCGGGAAAUGAAACAUAACUGAACGGCUUUAGUAGUCAUAUUUAUUUGGACAAUUUAUUGGAUCAUUUUAAAUCUUGUACGAGGUAGUAAUCAUGCGUCUGUCUGGCACAGCUCACCGAGUCGGACAUAACCUGGGAUUUGUUAUUGAUAUCUCGAAAAGGUUGUGCCGAGGGAUGACCAAACCUUGCGGCUGUGAAUGAUCUAAAACUAACAUCUCAUCCCAACUGCAGCAAAAAGGAGAAAGACAGUGGGAUUCUGCGUGUCUGUUUUCUCUGCUACAGAUAUCAGCUAUAUUUCCUAGCCUGUCUCUGUUCUUUCUCUUAUCUUGACUUUUUCUCUUCUUCCUUGACUUAACAUAAAAGAUGGUUCACAUCCUCUUGCAGUGCUACAAAUGCGUACACAUUUAAUGCACAUUUUCAGAAGAUCACUCAGUGAAUGUUACCUCUAGGAAUGUUUAAGCGUUGGGGUAGAGAGCCUGUUAUAAGCCUCUAACGUGAUUCAUAUGAAAUUGUUCACUUGUUACAAACCCUUGAUGAGAAAUUGUAAGUAUGUUUUAAUAGAUGGCAGAUAGAGCAAGCCACACAGUCCACAUGGCUACAAUAACUAGAAACUAGAAAACCUGUAGAAAUUCCUACAUACUGUAUGAAAGAUGAACGUGAAGGAAGAAAGCUGGUAAGCUGUAUAUCAUGAUUGAGGCCCUGCCCUUUCUUUCCCUCUCUAUUGUCCCUGUAACCUGUUAAAAUUUAAUGGCCCUCCUGUUUUUAUGUCGUGUGUCCUUUUAGGCCCACGCUGUUCACCGCUGGCUAAUCGAUCAGGACAAUAGUGUGAACUCUGAGCCGCCGGAUGGCCAGGGAGUGUGGCACUAUGAUGAAACAGUAAAUAUCUGCAACACGUAUAUCUUUUUUUCCUUCUUCUUAAUUUUUUUUCUUCUGUGUACAUAUAUCUAUGCCCAUUGCGUAUCUGCCUCUAGAUACGCCUUUGUCAUUGUUAGUGUUUUUGUUUGUGUGUGUAUGUGUGUGUGUGUGUGUGUGUGUGUGUGUGUGAUUUUUUAAAAUGCCAUCUGCCCAUUGGUUGCUUCUUGUGCCGUUGAUGUGUAGCUUUAGUUUUCUUUAGAAGUGCUGUGUUGCUAGUGUGCUAUUGGGCUGGCUGAUUUACUAACUUUAGAUGUGGUUGUGGUUUCAAGUCAGACACUUUUUUGUUGUUGUUGUAAUUUUCUAUGUUUUACUUGGUCAUAUUUGUGGAACAAAUUCAGUUAUCUGAUUUUGUUGAGAUUUCAUUUUGAUUUUUGAUGUGACUGUGUGUCGUUUUUCUUCAUAUUUAAAAACAAUGUAUAUAUACAUAUAUAUACAUCAGGGGUGUCCAAUCUUAUCCGGAAAGGGCCGGUGUGGGAGAAGGUUUUCACUCCAACCAAGCAGGAGCACACCUGAUUCCACCUGUUUAAUCAGUUGAUCUUGGCUUUCACUAGAUUCAGGUGUGGCUUCUGUUUGGUUGGAAUGAAAACCUGCACCCACACCGGCCCACACAAGAUUGGACACCUCUGAUAUACAUAACCACACAGCAAAAGAAAGAGUCCACGGGCAAAAUAUUACCCUUAACUUUACUGCAGUUCCCGCUUAUGCGAAUGUAUGAAAAAAAUACAUGAAACUACAUGAAACUACAGUUCAUGAUCAUUAGAAUAUGUUAUUAUAUCAUUUCUUUAUUUUUCCUGUGGGUUCUUCAUCUUUCCAAUUUGCUGUCUUCACACUGUGCUAACACACUUUAACGUAGUGCUCACACAUAGUCUGUGGUUCUAAACACCAAUGCAUGCACUGAUGUGUGUUGUUGUUCAUACACUAUCCAUAUUCCUUCGUGCUGUGUUUGUAACUAGAAAGAGCUGAAUCUGAGUGGUGAGUGAGGUUCAGUUUCGUGUGAUGUUCUUUAUUAGUGAUUCACUCGUUACCUUUUCAUUUCAUAUUGUGUGUGUGUGUGUGUGUGUGUGUGUGUGGUGUGGUGUUUUGUCUGUUUCACAUGUUUUUUGUUGUUGAUAUUUAGUCUUCACUCAAACUGUAAAACAUUGUAGUGCUUUGUCAGUCACCAACUGUGGUAAGUGGGGAAAUUUCCUGAAAACACAGUAGUUUGUCAGGUGUCACUCCAAUAUUUGAGAGUUAUCUGAGAAAACAGAAAAAGAAAAAGAAAAAAAACAGCUAUCUAAACAUAUGAACACACAUGCAUUGGAAACUCAUUUAGAAUAUUUACACAUAUUUACACAUUUAGAAUACAAACAAAUCCAAGUUUGCUAUGUUUUAUAAUAUUAAACCUCUCUCAAAACAAGUUUUCAUUUAGACCAAUGGCCUGCCACAAUGCACUCAGCUGGCUCCCUCUCCAUGUGUUACUCAUUCUAAGCGCUACGUGGAAAGGGUCAGGGAUAGGUGUUCACUGAUUCUCCUAUCCAGUCAUUUAAGUGCAUUGGGCUAUGGCAAAUAAUCAUUCUUAUUUAUAGACUGUGUACACUUUUCUACAUGUACACUGUUUGUUUCGUGUAACUGAGCAGGAAUGAAUAAGUAGUACUAUAUUAACCCCCAAGUCACAGCUAAUUAAUAUGGCUAAUUACUCAGUAUGUAAUAUGGUAAAUGAUCUGCACUUAUAUAGCACUUUCUUUUUUUUAACCUUAGCAGUUCUACAAAGUUCUUUACACUGGUUCUCAUUCACCCAUUCACACACACACACACACACACACACACACACACACACACACCAUCAUUAGCAGAGCUGCCAUGCAAGGCGCUAACUUGCCACGAGGACCAACUUGGGGUUCAGUGUCUUGCCCAAGGACACUUCGGCAUGUGGAGUCAUGUGGGCCUGGACUCGAACCGUCAACCCUACGAUUAACGGACAACCCGCUCUACUACCUGAGCCACAGCCGUCCUUUACUUUAAUAAUGAAGUCAUGAUUUGGUAGUUUAUUAUGAACUAAGUAAUAAUUACAGAUGCUGCAUCCAAAAUUGCGUGUUGUUACAGUACGUACUGCAUUCGAUUCAGUACCCACAGCUCGGUCGCUGAUACAGUACAUACUGAUCAGUAUAUGUGUGUAGUAUGAAUACAAUCCGGACGUAUGUGAGCUACGAUGUCAUCAUAACCGCAAAGCUUAAAGAGCCCACCAGAUUAGAACAAAAAAACAUCCUAACACUUAAAAAGAGCCGACGCACUGCCUUCUGCCAUUUUUUAUUCUGACAGCUCUUCCACGCCAGUCCUGUUGCCUUAUGGGAUAGCGCAGUGUCUAUUGGUUCCCUGCUGCAGAAUCUCAGCGGAAGCAGCAGGACAUCUGGGUAUUUCUCGCCUACUGUUUUAUGAAUUCUGACAAUUCGGACAACCUUUGGCGUACUGCUUUCCAACUACAGUAUAGCAGGGUUAGGAGGGUUCCUUUAAAAAUGUAUAAGGUUACAUUUACAAAUUACUUCAUAAAAAACGUCAUUAGUAACGUAAUCCAAGUAUCACAAUAUAUGAAAGUAAUGUAAUCAGAUUAUUUUUGUAUUAAUUUAAGGUCACAUAUGUAAAUAAAGUCAAGAGGAAAACUAUAUGAUCUCAAAUACUUUUAUUUAGAGCUUCAAACAUUCAGUGUUUGGAUUUGUUUUAAUAAAAUAAAUGCAGGUGUUGCUCAGGUGAGUCACAGCUGGCGAGAGAGAACCAGAACUAUAAUCCAGCAGCUGUCUAUGUAUUGUGUCAUAUCAAAAGAUUAACUUCUUUGGUUUUAAAUGAAAAAAAAUUGUAAUCCUGAUAGUAUUCAUAUAUAUAUAUA
ensembl:lncRNA